CAGUAGCCGCGGUAAUACAGAGGGUGCAAGCGUUAAUCGGAAUUACUGGGCGUAAAGCGCGCGUAGGUGGUUUGUUAAGUUGGAUGUGAAAUCCCCGGGCUCAACCUGGGAACUGCAUCCAAAACUGGCAAGCUAGAGUAUGGUAGAGGGUGGUGGAAUUUCCUGUGUAGCGGUGAAAUGCGUAGAUAUAGGAAGGAACACCAGUGGCGAAGGCGACCACCUGGACUGAUACUGACACUGAGGUGCGAAAGCGUGGGGAGCAAACAGGAUUAGAUACCCGAGUAGUCCCUGUCUCUUAUAA
rnacentral:rRNA from 1 species